rnacentral:rRNA from 1 species
UACAGAGGGUGCGAGCGUUGUCCGGAAUCACUGGGCGUAAAGGGCGCGUAGGUGGCGCCGCAAGUCCAUGGUGAAAGCUCGAUGCUCAACAUCGAGUCGGCCACGGAGACUGCGGGGCUCGAGCACUGUAGGGGCAAAUGGAAUUCCGGGUGUAGCGGUGGAAUGCGUAGAGAUCCGGAAGAACACCGGUGGCGAAGGCGGUCUGCUGGGCAGUUGCUGACACUGAGGAGCGAAAGCGUGGGGAGCGAACAGG